rnacentral:rRNA from 1 species
AUGAACGCUGGCGGCGUGCCUAAUACAUGCAAGUCGAGCGAACAGACGAGGAGCUUGCUCCUCUGACGUUAGCGGCGGACGGGUGAGUAACACGUGGAUAACCUACCUAUAAGACUGGGAUAACUUCGGGAAACCGGAGCUAAUACCGGAUAAUAUAUUUAACCGCAUGGUUCAAUAGUGAAAGACGGUUUUGCUGUCACUUAUAGAUGGAUCCGCGCCGCAUUAGCUAGUUGGUAAGGUAACGGCUUACCAAGGCAACGAUGCGUAUCCGCGCUGUGAGGGGGAUCGGCCACACUGGAACUGAGACACGGUCCAGACUCCUACGGGAGGCAGCAGUAGGGAAUCUUCCGCAAUGGGCGAAAGCCUGACGGAGCAACGCCGCGUGAGUGAUGAAGGUCUUCGGAUCGUAAAACUCUGUUAUUAGGGAAGAACAAAUGUGUAAGUAACUAUGCACGUCUUGACGGUACCUAAUCAGAAAGCCACGGCUAACUACGUG